rnacentral:misc_RNA from 1 species
ACAAGAAAGAUCGGAAAUAUAAUUAAAUGAUCAGGGGACUCGAGAAUUGGUUUGAGGGAUCGGUGAGGCUUUAAAUGACCUGGAGACUUGGUAUUAAUUAAAUUCCUUUUGAGGGGAGAUCGGAAGUGUGGUCGGUUGGCAAAGGGGACUGUGUUGGGGAUCGGCUUCAAAGUCUAUUAAUUUUGGGGGAUCGGCCAAAAUAUGGUGU